rnacentral:rRNA from 1 species
UGGGGAAUAUUGGACAAUGGGCGCAAGCCUGAUCCAGCAAUUCCGCGUGGGUGAAGAAGGUCUUCGGAUUGUAAAGCCCUUUCGGCAGGGACGAUGAUGACGGUACCUGCAGAAGAAGCCCCGGCUAACUUCGUGCCAGCAGCCGCGGUAAUACGAAGGGGGCUAGCGUUGCUCGGAAUGACUGGGCGUAAAGGGCGCGUAGGCGGUUUGCACAGUCAGGCGUGAAAUUCCCGGGCUUAACCUGGGGGCUGCGUUUGAUACGUGCGGACUUGAGGAUGAGAGAGGCUCGUGGAAUUCCCAGUGUAGAGGUGAAAUUCGUAGAUAUUGGGAAGAACACCGGUGGCGAAGGCGGCGAGCUGGCUCAUUUCUGACGCUGAGGCGCGAAAGCGUGGGGAGCAAACAGGAUUAGAUACCCUGGUAGUCCACGCUGUAAACGAUGUGCGCUGGAUGUUGGGAAGCUUAGCUUCUCAGUGUCGUAGCUAACGCGAUAAGCGCACCGCCUGGGGAGUACGGCCGCAAGGUUGAAACUCAAAUGAAUUGACGGGGUCAUAGCUGUUUCCU